rnacentral:rRNA from 1 species
UUGACGGGGCCCGCACAAGCGGUGGAGCAUGUGGUUUAAUUCGAUGAUACGCGAGAAACCUUACCAGGGCUUGACAUAUACAGGAAUGUUGUAGAGAUACAGCAGCCGCUUGCGGUCUGUAUACAGGUGCUGCAUGGCUGUCGUCAGCUCGUGCUGUGAGGUGUCGGGUUAAGUCCCAUAACGAGCGCAACCCUACCUUUAGUUGCCAUCAGGUAAUGCUGGGGACUCUAAAGGAACUGCCUACGCAAGUAGUGAGGAAGGCGGGGAUGACGUCAAAUCAGCACGGCCCUUACGUCCAGGGCUACACACGUGCUACAAUGGCCGAUACAGAGGGCAGCUACCUGGUGACAGGAUGCAAAUCUCCAAAGUCGGUCUCAGUUCGGAUCGGAGUCUGCAACCCGACUCCGUGAAGUUGGAUUCGCUAGUAAUCGCGCAUCAGCCAUGGCGCGGUGAAUACGUUCCCGGGCCUU